UGGGGAAUCUUGCGCAAUGGGCGAAAGCCUGACGCAGCGAUGCCGCGUGCGGGAUGAAGGCCUUCGGGUUGUAAACCGCUUUCAGCAGGGACGAAAUUGACGGUACCUGCAGAAGAAGCCCCGGCCAACUACGUGCCAGCAGCCGCGGUAAUACGUUGGGGGCGAGCGUUGUCCGGAUUUAUUGGGCGUAAAGAGCUCGUAGGCGGUUCGAUAAGUCGGAUGUGAAAUCUCCACGCUCAACGUGGAGAGGCCAUUCGAUACUGUCGUGACUCGAGUCCGGUAGGGGAGUGUGGAAUUCCCGGUGUAGCGGUGAAAUGCGCAGAGAUCGGGAGGAACACCCGUAGCGAAGGCGGCACUCUGGGCCGGUACUGACGCUGAGGAGCGAAAGCGUGGGGAGCAAACA
rnacentral:rRNA from 1 species